UGUGCAUCAUGUCGCUGCUGAUUUAUCUACAUUCACAUCACCGGACCAUUAUUAAUCCUGCUACUCUUACUGUAGAGACACAUAUUACAGCAAAAAGAAGCCUAAAAAAGCUCCAGUUCGGCUAUGUCUACUAUCCAAAUCUUGGUGCAGGAUCUGCCAACUCAGCCAAUCACUAGCUGUGGUGUUGUCCCAUCUCUUGUCCUGCACCCUCUGGGAAGUAAAAAGAAGAGAGGAGAAUGAAGACUGAACAGAGUCAAACGGGGCCUGCAGAGGGAACAGCAGGGUGCUAGGGCAGACAGAAGAACGGUCAAGGUGCAGGCAAGGUUCAGGUCAUGAAUGGUCAGGACAAUAGCAAGGCACCCUGUUAUAGAAUCUCUGGCAUCCUUCCAGCAGCACCCUGAAGACAGUAGACGCAAUGUGGGAGCAAAGAC